rnacentral:rRNA from 1 species
GAGACAACAAUACUAACGAAUUUCCAGGUGAACCUGCGGAAGGAUCAUUA